AGCGUAUUUUAUUCUUGAGAACAUGCUGCCGGAUAUCUUCAAAUGCGGGCGAAAUCCGCGGCCAGAUAUCCUCGCGCGGCCGGUGCGGCCGAUAACGCUGAUUGCGCCGCGUUUGGGCGCGGAACUGCGAAAGCUGCCGCCAGCCUGCCCCNCGGAGCGGCUCUGAAUCAAAGAGGUUGUUCCCCGCGGAAACAGACUUGGAGAGAUACAAUU
rnacentral:misc_RNA from 1 species